GAUGCAACGUGUCUUGCCUGUGAGGUACCCCGACUCGACGUCAAACUCGCCGUUGGAGUGUGCGUCUCGAUGCAGGUCCUACAGAUUUGCAGGCGUUGAGAACAGCAACGAGUGUUUCUGUGGAAACGUGCAGCCAGUUGUGAGUAAGCCCGAGUCUGAAUGUAAUGCUGUGUGCCCCGGGGAAAGCACAAAGAAAUGCGGAGGAGUCUGGAGGGUCAGUGUCUAUAGCAACAGGGCUCCCAUGUACCGCGGAUGCUACGUGGAUACGAUACCCCGUGUCUUGCCUACUCAAAAGACUCCCAACUCGCCCACAAACACGCCUUUGGAAUGUGCCUCUCGCUGCAUUGGUUUCGCUUUUAGCGGCGUUGAGGCCAGCGGUGAGUGUUUCUGCGGCACAGUACUACCCACAGUGCUAAAGCCUGACUCCGAAUGUAACUAUGCGUGUCCUGGGAACAGCGCAUUGAAAUGUGGCGGGUGGUUGAGAAUCAGCGUCUAUAGCAAUUAGGAGUGCCGAACAACGUUGCAUGAUACAAACAGCCCGAAAAAAACUCUGCGCUUUCUGAAAAUGGAUGCUGGCUUUUGUUUAUAAAUUAAAGAAUAUUUCUCAUUAUCCUUUUCAACUUCCUGAUUACAGAGAUAAUUGUUGCAGUCUAUUUUAUUAAGACACUUCAACCAUGUUGUUUAGAAUGAUUUAAAGGUUUACUUGGUAAUUACAUGUUGUCUUUGUCACAGUAACAUGUGUUUAAAACCAGUUGUGCAAUAAAUGAAUAUUACUAGAAAAUGCUAAAAAGACUAAUACUUCAGGAAAUAAAUCUUUGCUUAUGUAUACUUUCAAUAAAAGCAUUCUUCUGCACAGAAA